UGGAAUAGCUGUAUUGUUUCUCCCACCCAGCUGUCUGCUGUGCCCCUUUGCGGGAAUAACUCAGCUAUUUAUACAGCAGCUGCUGAACCGUAACAAAUUACAGCUUGGCAUACGCAGAGAAUCUACAUAAGUGCCAGUUUAUCUUACUAUGCUGGGUUGUAAACUGCACCAAUUCAGCAGUUGCUUCAGGAGCAGCUGAGCUAUCCCAGCAGUGGAAACAGCAAUCACAGUCCUCUGAAGAUAAGCCUCCCUGGAUCAUGAAUCAAAGUCCUUUAAGAAGCUAUAGAAAACUCCCAGCAAUCUGCACGCUACACACAGCAAUCUGCGCUCCACUCCACAGCUAGGAGCACACAGACCACACUGAUCAGCCCAAGCUUCCAUAAUUUGGAUGAGACAUGCUGAGAAAGCAAGUUUAUGGUGGAAGGGAGAUCAAUAUUGGAAGAAUCAACAGAGACAUGGCGAUGAAAGUCCAGUACCACAGUGGAAAACAUAAACAAGGAUUGAAGAGUUCCAGGCAGCGCUCACGCCACAGGUGCAUUAAGACAAUUAGGACCAUUUUGGCAAAACCUCUUCCUAGAGGCAGCAGCUACUGUUGGGUCAUUCAAACGGUAAGUUAAGAAGCACAUUUGGAGUCUCAGACACAAUUCACGACAAAAAGCAGAACGCCAAGAUGCCCAGAAACCCGUGCUCCCGCAUUUUUAAUGCCAUUCCACAUUCUUAGCCCUUUCCUGCACGCUUACGGCUUCAACUCACUUAAGCUUUUCUGUGCUCCUUUUGCUGCUCGCUCUGAACACUUUUCCCAGGCCGUUCCAGGAAAUAGCCCCUUACUGUAUGUAUUAAAUUUUAAACAAGCUCAUGAGCACGGUGCAGGUUACAUUUAAAACGGCACGGAGCCCAAAGGGGAUAGAGAAGGGGAAAAGGAACCUGCGAGGCAGCAGGGAAGGAAAGGACCGCGACGCACCCGACCCGGCUCCGCUAACCCUACCUAGAAGCCUCGCAGCAGGAUAAAACCCCGUAAACCCCCAUAAAGCAGGAUAAAGCCCCAUAAAGUCCUUCAAGAAGGACCGCCGGUUAACGAAGGCCCCAGAGGGGCUCCUUACAGGUGGCUGCAGCGCGGGGCACCUGCCCAAGCAGCUCGCGGGCUGCUCCCCAGCAGCACGACCCCGCUGCCUCCCGCCC